rnacentral:rRNA from 1 species
GAUGAACGCUGGCGGCGCGCUUAACACAUGCAAGUCGAACGGAUAGGGCAUGCUUUUGGGGGGUGCAAGGGUGGGGAAGGGGUGAGUAACCCGUGAGUACCCUGCCCUUGCCUUUGGGAAACCUUCAGGAAACUGGGGCUAAUACCGGAACGGAGCUCCUGCUGCAUGGUGGGGGUUGGAAAGCUUCGGCGGGUGGGGAUGGACCCGCGGCUUGUUAGCUUGUUGGUGGGGUAGUGGCCUACCAAGGCAUUGACGGGUAGCCGGGUUGAGAGGGUGACCGGCCACAUUGGGACUGAGACACGGCCCAGACUCCUACGGGAGGCAGCAGUGGGGAAUAUUGCACAAUGGGCGGAAGCCUGAUGCAGCAACGCCGCGUGCGGGAUGACGGCCUUCGGGUUGUAAACCGCUUUCACCUGUGACGAAGCGUUAGUGACGGUAAUUGGUAAAGAAGCACCGGCUAACUACGUG